ensembl:lncRNA
CACACACACACACACUCUCCUCUUGCUCUCCAUCUCUCUCUAAGAACAAGCAGCGUGUGUAUAUGAGCCAUCAGACUCCCUUCUUCUUCCUCCUUCAUCUCUCACCCCCGCCCCCCCACACACACACACAGUCUCUCUCACACACACACACACACACACACACACACACACACACACACACACUCUCCUCUUGCUCUCCAUCUCUCUCUAAGAACAAGCAGCGUGUGUAUAUGAGCCAUCAGACUCCCUUCUUCUUCCUCCUUCAUCUCUCACCCCCGCCCCCCCACACACACACACAGUCUCUCUCACAUACACACACACGCACAGACACACUCUCUCCUCUUGCUCUCCAUCUCUCUCUAAGAACAAGCAGCGUGUGUAUAUGAGCCAUCAGACCCCCUUCUUCUUCCUCCUUCAUCUCACCCCCCCCCACACACACUCUCUCCCACACACUUCUCUCACCCUUCCUCUCUUCCCUCUCUCCUCUUCCCCUUUACCUCCUAUCCCUCCAUCUCUUCACCCCUUCAUUCUCCUCAUCCUCCCGUCCCUCUCGUUUCUCUUUCCUCUGCUCUUCCGUCCUUCCUUCCUUCUCUCUCCAGCUGAGAGCAGACGGGCCAGAUCCUCUCUUCUCUGUUCUCACUGAGUGGACAGACAGACAGACAGACAGACAGACAGACAGGGUACUGAGAGACAGACAGCUCAGAAACCCUGGAGGCUCAGAGACCUAAUUGAAUUGAACUGGCUAAGAGACAGACAGCUCAGAGACAGACAGACAGCUCAGACAAUGAGAACCUGUCCUGUCGAGUGUCCCUCCUCUGUCUCACCCCUCCUGUGGACAGUCCGAGCUCUGUGGACAUUGGACGUCUCCUGAGGAACUCUGUCCCUGUAUGUAGCCGUGCAGUGGACGACGUCUGGAUCGCACCAGAGACUGACUCAUGGCCACUGCACUUGCUGAAGAGUAGCCCACUUCGCAACGUGACCUCUGCAUGACCCGGAAGUACAUGUUUUAAUCCCCCCAAGUGAUGGACACAGACAAUGCCACACUCCAUUAAAAGCCACUCAUACUGCAGACAAGGCAUACUACAAGAUGGACGUGACCCUUGCCGUGUUCUCCUGAGAUAAUACAGCUUCCUCCCAGUGCGAUCGCAUCAGACCCUCGGGUCACCUGGUCCCCAGUCUGCUGUCGUGUGGAGAGUCUCGCUUCACCCUCCUUCUGAGGCCACGUCUGACCAGACUCGACUCUUUCACUUGUCCCUUCAAUGAACACUGUUGUGAAAUCUCUCAGAAGUCUUGUGACCAUGGACAGAACUGAGAAGUAAAACUGCCGUCAGCUCUCUCAGGGACGUCUGUGCCCUGGGUGGAGCUCUCGUGACCACGGGUGGGACUGAGUGAACACUAUGAGUUGUGCACUAUUAUAGUAGUGAACACUGUUAAUCAGUGUUGGGGCUUCAUGUCACAUUGUAUUGGAAGUGUUUCCCUGUUGAGAGCACCAGGUGCAGAGGUUGUUCUAUGUAUGUAAAUUACCUGUAAACAUGUGUACUUUUAUGGGUUUAUCCUCUUGUAUCGACACAGGCAAACACUUGGGCGUCCAACCGCUGUGAGGCAAAUUGUCACAAGUGAGGGGGAUCUCAGACGCUGUCUGCCUGGCUCAACCGGCACAACACUGCCCCCUAGUGUAUGAGCUACGUAGUGCAGUUCGGCAUUGAGUAUUUACUGAUGAGCACAAGCACAGAGUCACCAGGCUUUGUACAUUACAAGCCUUUAGUUACAGUACGUUGAGCAUGGUUAUGUAAACUGUAAUGCAUAAAGUGUGUACAUCUGUGACACGUGGUUUACGGUGUUCUACUAUGUAACUGGUGGUGAAAUCAAAGAAGAGGUGUGAGGAGCAGCAAAAAGUGAUCGUGCGUGCGGUGUGUGUGUGUGUGUGUGUGUGUGUGUGUGUGUGUGUGUGUGUGUGUGUGUGUGUGUGUGUGUGUGUGUGUGUGUGUGUGUGUGUGUGUGUGUGUGUGUGUGUGUGUGUGUGUGUGUGUGUGUGUGUGUGUGUGUGUGUGUGUGUGUGUGUGUGUCUUUCUCUGUCCGCUACCUAAAGCAACAGGAGGAAACCAGAGCUGUAAGGCUUCGGUAAAGCUAUCUGACUUUAAAGGUUUCCAAAAUCUCACAAGAUUUGCCAUACUGCAAGGCUGAGGUAAAAGUUUGUGCUGAUAAUAGCAUCCACACAAUGCAUACCUGUGUUGGGAAACAUAAGGGGGAAAGAUGCAACAGUCAGACAACACAUACCAAAGCUCCCACUGAUACCAUCACACCCAGACACAUGGUAGAAAACAAAGUGUCCUACUUAGCACAAGACAUUUGCAGGUUCAGACAAACGACAAAUCAGGUCCAGAUCAGAGAUGAUCAGACCAGAUCAGAGACCGCCCACUAUCCGGUGUGUGGUCUAAAGAGAUGAUUCUCACAGCACAGACGGAUGAUAGAAGAAUAUUUAACCUCAAGACUGUGAAAUGAUCUAAUAGGAAGCCUCAAUAUCAGGUGUGGGUGUGUGUGUGUGUGCACAGAUGUGUGUGUUUGGUGUGUGCACAGAUGUGUGUGCACGGAUGUGUGUGUGUGUGUGCGUGCACGGAUGUGUGUGGGUGUGUGCGUGCGCACUCUCAUAGCAUUAUAUUAUGGUACAUUGUUUUCAC